rnacentral:rRNA from 1 species
AGAGUUUGAUUCUGGCUCAGAACGAACGCUGGCGGCGUGGAUAAGACAUGCAAGUCGAACGAGAGAAUUGCUAGCUUGCUAAUAAUUCUCUAGUGGCGCACGGGUGAGUAACACGUGAGUAACCUGCCCCCGAGAGCGGGAUAGCCCUGGGAAACUGGGAUUAAUACCGCAUAGUAUCGAAAGAUUAAAGCAGCAAUGCGCUUGGGGAUGGGCUCGCGGCCUAUUAGUUAGUUGGUGAGGUAACGGCUCACCAAGGCGAUGACGGGUAGCCGGUCUGAGAGGAUGUCCGGCCACACUGGAACUGAGACACGGUCCAGACACCUACGGGUGGCAGCAGUCGAGAAUCAUUCACAAUGGGGGAAACCCUGAUGGUGCGACGCCGCGUGGGGGAAUGAAGGUCUUCGGAUUGUAAACCCCUGUCAUGUGGGAGCAAAUUAAAAAGAUAGUACCACAAGAGGAAGAGACGGCUAACUCUGUGCCAGCAGCCGCGGUAAUACAGAGGUCUCAAGCGUUGUUCGGAAUCACUGGGCGUAAAGCGUGCGUAGGCUGUUUCGUAAGUCGUGUGUGAAAGGCGCGGGCUCAACCCGCGGACGGCACAUGAUACUGCGAGACUAGAGUAAUGGAGGGGGAACCGGAAUUCUCGGUGUAGCAGUGAAAUGCGUAGAUAUCGAGAGGAACACUCGUGGCGAAGGCGGGUUCCUGGACAUUAACUGACGCUGAGGCACGAAGGCCAGGGGAGCGAAAGGGAUUAGAUACCCCUGUAGUCCUGGCAGUAAACGGUGCACGCUUGGUGUGCGGGGAAUCGACCCCCUGCGUGCCGGAGCUAACGCGUUAAGCGUGCCGCCUGGGGAGUACGGUCGCAAGAUUAAAACUCAAAGAAAUUGACGGGGACCCGCACAAGCGGUGGAGUAUGUGGCUUAAUUCGAUGCAACGCGAAGAACCUUACCUGGGCUUGACAUGUAAUGAACAACAUGUGAAAGCAUGCGACUCUUCGGAGGCGUUACACAGGUGCUGCAUGGCCGUCGUCAGCUCGUGUCGUGAGAUGUUUGGUUAAGUCC